CAGUCAUACCAACGGGAAAUCAACCUUUUGAGCUUGGUCUCGUGGGUUUUGAAAGAGUUUCAAAGCCUUCGGAUUCGCGAGAUUGGGAUCUCUUGGCGUACUUUAUCGUACGGUUAGUCAACAUCGGUUUUGAAUGUCAUAAAAUGACUGGAGGAAUGUAGCUUCGAUCUCGUAUAGAAGUGUUAUAGCCUUUGGUAGAUGUGAUGUUUGAGACCGAGGAUUGCAACGGAUACCCUUCAGGGCUAUUCGUCUGAUCUCUGAUACGUUGCCCUGAUGUUGAAAGCUUGCUUAUGAUGUUAGGGUAUUACGGUCAAAAGGUUAGAACGGAUUAGA
rnacentral:rRNA from 1 species